UACGGAGGGUGCAAGCGUUAUCCGGAUUCACUGGGUUUAAAGGGUGCGUAGGAGGGCAGAUAAGUCAGUGGUGAAAUCUUCGAGCUUAACUCGGAAACUGCCGUUGAUACUAUUUGUCUUGAAUACCGUGGAGGUGAGCGGAAUAUGUCAUGUAGCGGUGAAAUGCUUAGAUAUGACAUAGAACACCAAUUGCGAAGGCAGCUCACUACACGAAUAUUGACUCUGAGGCACGAAAGCGUGGGGAUCAAACAGG
rnacentral:rRNA from 1 species